rnacentral:rRNA from 1 species
UUGACGGGGCCCGCACAAGCAGUGGAGCAUGUGGUUUAAUUCGAAGCAACGCGAAGAACCUUACCAGGGCUUGACAUCCCGCGAACCUCCUGAAAGGAGGGGUGCCUUCGGGAGCGCGGAGACAGGUGCUGCAUGGUUGUCGUCAGCUCGUGUCGUGAGAUGUUGGGUUAAGUCCCGCAACGAGCGCAACCCCUGUCCUUUGUUGCCAGCGGUUUGGCCGGGCACUCAAAGGAGACUGCCGGAGACGAUCCGGAGGAAGGUGGGAUGACGUCAAAUCCUCAUGGCCCUUAUGUCCUGGGCGACACACGUGCUACAAUGGCCUGCACAGAGGGCUGCGAUGCCGCGAGGCAAAGCCAAUCCCCAAAAGCAGGUCCCAGUUCGGAUUGAAGGCUGAAACCCGCCUUCAUGAAGCCGGAAUUGCUAGUAAUCGCGGAUCAGCCAUGCCGCGGUGAAUACGUUCCCGGGCCUU